GCGGGCGUGGCGGAAUUGGCAGACGCGCCGGAUUUAGGUUCCGGUGCCCUCCGGGCGUGGGAGUUCGAGUCUCUUCGCCCGCACCA
rnacentral:tRNA from 1 species